rnacentral:rRNA from 1 species
UACGUAGGGUGCAAGCGUUGUCCGGAAUUAUUGGGCGUAAAGCGCGCGUAGGCGGCUACUUAAGUCGGAUGUGAAAGCCCUUGGCUCAACUGAGGAAGUGCACCCGAAACUGAGUGGCUUGAGGGAGAUAGGGGCGUGCGGAACUUCCGGUGGAGCGGUGAAAUGCGUAGAUAUCGGAAGGAACACCGGUGGCGAAAGCGGCGCGCUGGAUCUCUUCUGACGCUGAGGCGCGAAAGCCAGGGGAGCAAACAGG